GAAUUAAUGUAGAGUUUGGUUGUAGCUGGCUCCUAAUUAAACUUGGGGGCAUGUGCACACCUUUCUCUUUCAUCCCAUACACACCUGUGCACCUGUGAGACAGAUGUUUUGUGGGGGGGAAGGAACUUUAUUGGACCUUCUACUCCCCCUUGACUUCUGUCUACUUAAUUCAUAUAAACUCAAUUUAUUUUAAAACGGAUGUAAUGGAUGUAACACAUCUAAUACUAAGUUUCAACAACGGAUCUCUUGGCUCUCGCAUCGAUGAAGAACGCAGCGAAAUGCGAUAAGUAAUGUGAAUUGCAGAAUUCAGUGAAUCAUCGAAUCUUUGAACGCACCUUGCGCUCCUUGGUAUUCCUUGGAGCAUGCCUGUUUGAGUAUCAUGAAAUCUUCAAAGUCAAACCUUUUGUUAAUUCAAUUGGUUCUGCUUUGGUAUUGGAGGAUUAUUGCAGCUUCACACCUGCUCCUCUUUGUGCAUUAGCUGGAUCUCAGUGUUAUGCUUGGUUCCACUCAGCGUGAUAAGUUAUCUAUCGCUGAGGACACCCUGUUAAAAAGGGGUGGCCAAGGUAAAUGCAGAUGAACCGCUUCUAAUAGUCCAUUGACUUGGACAAUAUCUAAUUUAUGAUCUGAUCUCAAAUCAGGUAGGACUACCCGCUGAACUUAAGCAUAUCAAUAAGNCGGAGGAA
rnacentral:sRNA from 1 species